rnacentral:rRNA from 1 species
GGCUCAGGAAUGAACGCUGGCGGCGUGCUUAACACAUGCAAGUCGAACGAUGACCCCGGUGCUUGCAUCGGUGAUUAGUGGCGAACGGGUGAGUAACACGUGAGUAACCUGCCCCUUAACUCUGGGAUAAGCCUGGGAAACUGGGUCUAAUACCGGAUAAUGACUCCCUUCAUCGCAUGGUGGGGGGUGGAAAGCUUUUUUGUGGUUUUUGGAUGGACUCGCGGCCUAUCAGCUUGUUGGUGAGGUAAUGGCUUACCAAGGCGACGACGGGUAGCCGGCCUGAGAGGGUGACCGGCCACACUGGGACUGAGACACGGCCCAGACUCCUACGGGAGGCAGCAGUGGGGUAUAUUGCACAAUGGGCGGAAGCCUGAUGCAGCGACGCCGCGCGAGGGAUGACGGCCUUCGGGUUGUAAACCUCUUUCAGUAGGGAAGAAGCGUUAAGUGACGGUACCUGCAGAAGAAGCGCCGGCUAACUACGUGCCAGCAGCCGCGGUUAAUACGUAGGGUCGCAAGCGUUUAUCCGGAAUUAUUGGGCGUAAAGAGCUCGUAGGCGGUUUGUCGCCGUCUGCCGCUGAAAGUCCGGGGCUCAACCUCCGGGAUCUGCGGUGGGUACGGGCAGACUAGAGUGAUGUAGGGGAGACUGGAAUUCCUGGCUGUAGCGCGUGAAAUGCGCAGCAUAUCAGGAGGAACACCGAUGGCGAAGGCACGGUCUUCUGGGCAUUAACUGACGCUGAGGAGCGAAAGCAUGGGGAGCGAACAGGAUUAGAUACCCUGGUAGUCCAUGCCGUAAACGUUGGGCACUAGGUGUGGGGGACAUUCCACGUUUUCCGCGCCGUAGCU